GGACAAGGGAAGUUGAAUGUUUUAUUCAUGCAGUCGGAUGGAGGGCUUGCACCAGAAAAUAGAUUUUCUGGCCACAAAGCAAUUUUGUCAGGUCCUGCUGGUGGUGUAGUUGGUUACUCUCAGACACUCUUUGGGAUUGAAACAGACAAGGCCCUAAUCGGUUUUGACAUGGGUGGUACCUCCACUGAUGUUAGCCGAUAUGCUGGUAGCUAUGAACAAGUUAUAGAAACCCAGGUUGCUGGUGCAAUAAUUCAAGCACCUCAGCUUGAUGUAAACACAGUCGCUGCUGGUGGUGGAUCAAAGUUAAAAUUUCAGUUUGGUUCUUUCCGGGUGGGACCAGAUUCAGUGGGUGCACAUCCAGGACCAGUUUGUUACCGGAAAGGAGGGCAGCUAGCAGUUACAGAUGCAAAUCUUAUUUUAGGUUAUGUCAUUCCUGAAUUUUUCCCUUCCAUUUUUGGUCCCAAUGAAGACCAGCCAUUAGAUAUUGAUGCUACCAGGGAAGAGUUUGAAAAACUU
rnacentral:misc_RNA from 1 species